GAUGAACGCUAGCGGCAUGCUUAAUACAUGCAAGUCGUAGGGCAGCACGACGGUAGCACUACGGUUGCUGGCGACCGGCAAACGGGUGCGGAGCACGUACGCAGCUUAUCCUUAAGGGGGGGAUAGCCCGGGGAAACCCGGAUUACUACCCCGUGAUCUAGUGGAGUGGCAGCACUUUGUUAUUAAAGCUCCGGCGGGUCGGGAUGGGGGUGCGGCUGCUUAGGUAGUGGGUUGAGGUAACGGCUCACCAAGCCUAGGAUCAGUAAGUGGUGUGAGAGCACGACCAGUGACACGGGAACCGGGAAACGGGCGCGAGUGCUACGGGACGGAGCAGUAAGGAAUAGUGGGCAGUGGAGGCGAGUCUGAUCCAGCCAAGCCGCGUGGAGGAUGGAGGCGCUCUGGGUGGUAAACUUCUGUUAGAGGGGACGAAACCUGUGUAUUGUUACGCAGUUGACGGUACCCUAGGAAGAAGCACCGGCUAACUCCGUG
rnacentral:rRNA from 1 species